rnacentral:rRNA from 1 species
AGAGUUUGAUCCUGGCUCAGGAUGAACGCUGGCGGCGUGCCUAACACAUGCAAGUCGAACGGUAGUCAUUUUCGGAUGAUGAGAGUGGCGAACGGGUGAGUAACACGUAGCUAACCUGCCCUAUAGAGCGGGACAACCGACGGAAACGUUGGCUAAUACCGCAUAAGCUCACGCUGAGUAGGUAAGUGUGAGAAAAGCUGAGGCGCUAUAGGAGGGGGCUGCGGACCAUCAGCUAGUUGGUGUGGUAACGGCGCACCAAGGCGACGACGGAUAGGGGGCCUGAGAGGGUGAUCCCCCACACUGGAACUGAGACACGGUCCAGACUCCUACGGGAGGCAGCAGUGAGGAAUAUUGCACAAUGGGCGAAAGCCUGAUGCAGCGACGCCGCGUGGGCGAAGAAGGGUUUCGGCCUGUAAAGCCCUUUUCUGUGUGACGAGGAAGGACGGUAGCACAGGAAAAAGUGUCGGCUAACUAC